rnacentral:rRNA from 1 species
UACGAAGGGGGCUAGCGUUGCUCGGAAUCACUGGGCGUAAAGCGCACGUAGGCGGCUUUCUAAGUCAGGGGUGAAAUCCUGGAGCUCAACUCCAGAACUGCCUUUGAUACUGAAGAUCUUGAGUUCGGGAGAGGUGAGUGGAACUGCGAGUGUAGAGGUGAAAUACGUAGAUAUUCGCAAGAACACCAGUGGCGAAGGCGGCUCACUGGCCCGAUACUGACGCUGAGGCACGAAAGCGUGGGGAGCAAACAGG